UACGAAGGGGGCAAGCGUUGUUCGGAAUUAUUGGGCGUAAAGAGCUCGUAGGCGGCUUGUCGCGUCGAAUGUGAAAACCCACGGCUCAACUGUGGGCUUGCAUUCGAUACGGGCAGGCUAGAGUUCGGUAGGGGAGACUGGAAUUCCUGGUGUAGCGGUGAAAUGACGCAGAUAUCAGGAGGAAUACCAGUGGCGAAGGCGGCUGACUGGCCUGCAACUGACGCUGAAACGCGAAGGCUAGGGGAGCAAACAGGG
rnacentral:rRNA from 1 species